GAGGAAAUCUAGCACACCUGUCUGUAAACCUGUCCACACGCUGCACUGUCUGAGAAGCAGCGCAGCCACAUCGUAGACUGUAGUGUGGAGAGGUUAUAUUGGUUCGAUUGAAGAUAGCGCGCUCGGAAAGCAGAUGGAGUUUUCACGGUGUCAACAAAAGAACAAAAAAUGACUGAAAAUAAAGUUAAAGAACACCCGUCGAAGCCCUCUGCGUGUCGCAUCAUUCCGAGC